UCAGCAAUGUAUUGUCCGAAUGCUAGCACA
rnacentral:piRNA from 1 species